rnacentral:rRNA from 1 species
GAUGAACGCUGGCGGCGUGCCUAAUACAUGCAAGUCGAGCGAAUGGAUUAAGAGCUUGCUCUUAUGAAGUUAGCGGCGGACGGGUGAGUAACACGUGGGUAACCUGCCCAUAAGACUGGGAUAACUCCGGGAAACCGGGGCUAAUACCGGAUAACAUUUUGAACCGCAUGGUUCGAAAUUGAAAGGCGGCUUCGGCUGUCACUUAUGGAUGGACCCGCGUCGCAUUAGCUAGUUGGUGAGGUAACGGCUGACCAAGGCAACGAUGCGUAGCCGACCUGAGAGGGUGAUCGGCCACCCUGGGACUGAGACACGGCCCAGACGCCUACGGGAGGCAGCAGUAGGGAAUCUUCCGCAAUGGACGAAAGUCUGACGGAGCAACGCCGCGUGAGUGAUGAAGGCUUUCGGGUCGUAAAACUCUGUUGUUAGGGAAGAACAAGUGCUAGUUGAAUAAGCUGGCACCUUGACGGUACCUAACCAGAAAGCCACGGCUAACUACGUGCCAGCAGCCGCCGUAA